rnacentral:tRNA from 1 species
AGAGUUGUGGCUCAGAGGUAGAGCACUCGCCUAGCAUGUGUGAGGCACUGGGUUCAAUCCUCAGCACCACAU